GAACCAAUGAGGAGCUUGCUCGCUGAAGUUAGCGGCGGACGCGUGAGUAACACGUGCGUAACCUGCCUGUAAGAUUGGCAUAACUCCGGCAAUCCGGAGCUAAUACCGGAUAAUAUUUUGAACCGCAUGGUUCUUAUUUGAAAGAUGGUUUCGGCUGUCACUUACAGAUGGACCCGCGGCGCAUUAGCUAGUUGGUGAGGUAACGGCUCACCAAGGCGACGAUGCGUAGCCGACCUGAGAGGGUGAUCGGCCACACUGGGACUGAGACACGGCCCAGACUCCUACGGGAGGCAGCAGUACGGAAUCUACCGCAAUGGACGAAAGCCUGACCGAGCAACGCCGCGUGAACGAUGAAGGCCUUCGGGUCGUAAAGUUCUGUUGUUAGAGAAGAACAAGUACCAGAGUAUCUGCUGGUACCUUGACCGUACCUAACCAGAAAGCCACGCCUAACUACGUGCCAGCAGCCGCCGUAAUACGUAGGUGCCAAGCGUAAUCCGGAUAUAUUGGGCGUUAAGCGGGCGCAGGCCGUCUCUUAAGUCUGAUGUGUAAGCCCACGGCUCAACCGUGGACGGUCAUUGGAAACUGGCAGACUAGAGUGCAGGAGAGAAAAGUGGAAUUCCACGUGUAGCGGUGAAAUGCG
rnacentral:rRNA from 1 species